GAGGGUAGAGCUCAGUGGUAGAGCACAUGCUUAGCAUGCUCAAGGUCCUGGGCUCAACCCCAAGUAACUUCA
rnacentral:tRNA from 1 species